rnacentral:rRNA from 1 species
AGAGUUUGAUCCUGGCUCAGGAUGAACGCUGGCGGCGUGCUUAACACAUGCAAGUCGAACGAACCUUCGGGUUAGUGGCGGACGGGUGAGUAACGCGUGAGAAUCUGCCCUCAGGAGGGGGGUAACGGCUGGAAACGGCCGCUAAUACCCCAUAUGCCGAGAGGUGAAACGAGUUUUCGCCUGAGGAUGAGCUCGCGUCUGAUUAGCUAGUUGGUGAGGUAAUGGCUCACCAAGGCAUCGAUCAGUAGCUGGUCUGAGAGGAUGAUCAGCCACACUGGGACUGAGACACGGCCCAGACUCCUACGGGAGGCAGCAGUGGGGAAUUUUCCGCUAUGGGCGAAAGCCUGACGGAGCAACGCCGCGUGAGGGAUGAAGGCCUCUGGGCUGUAAACCUCUUUUCUCAAGGAAGAAGACCUGACGGUACUUGAGGAAUAAGCCACGGCUAAUUCCGUGCCAGCAGCCGCGGUAAUACGGGAGUGGCAAGCGUUGUCCGGAAUUAUUGGGCGUAAAGCGUCCGCAGGCGGCCUUUUAAGUCUGUUGUCAAAGCGUGGAGCUUAACUCCAUUUCGGCAAUGGAAACUGGGAGGCUUGAGUGUGGUAGGGGCAGAGGGAAUUCCCGGUGUAGCGGUGAAAUGCGUAGAUAUCGGGAAGAACACCAGUGGCGAAGGCGCUCUGCUGGGCCAUAACUGACGCUCAUGGACGAAAGCCAGGGGAGCGAAAGGGAUUAGAUACCCCUGUAGUCCUGGCCGUAAACGAUGAACACUAGGUGUCGGGGGAAUCGACCCCCUCGGUGUCGUAGCCAACGCGUUAAGUGUUCCGCCUGGGGAGUACGCACGCAAGUGUGAAACUCAAAGGAAUUGACGGGGGCCCGCACAAGCGGUGGAGUAUGUGGUUUAAUUCGAUGCAACGCGAAGAACCUUACCAGGGUUUGACAUCCUGCGAAUCCCUUGGAAACUUGGGAGUGCCUUCGGGAGCGCAGAGACAGGUGGUGCAUGGCUGUCGUCAGCUCGUGUCGUGAGAUGUUGGGUUAAGUCCCGCAACGAGCGCAACCCACGUCUUUAGUUGCCAUUGAGUUGGGCACUCUAGAGAGACCGCCGGUGAUAAACCGGAGGAAGGUGUGGAUGACGUCAAGUCAUCAUGCCCCUUACAUCCUGGGCUACACACGUACUACAAUGCUACGGACAGAGGGCAGCAAACUCGCGAGAGCUAGCAAAUCCCAUAAACCGUGGCUCAGUUCAGAUCGUAGGCUGCAACUCGCCUACGUGAAGGAGGAAUCGCUAGUAAUCGCAGGUCAGCAUACUGCGGUGAAUACGUUCCCGGGCCUUGUACACACCGCCCGUCACACCAUGGAAGUUGGCCACGCCCGAAGCCGUUACUCCAACCCUUGUGGAGGAGGACGUCGAAGGUGGGGCUGAUGACUGGGGUGAAGUCGUAACAAGGUA